UGACAACAGAUAUAAAAAGUGCGGAGCAGCUGUUCAGGGUUUCCAAGCCUUGACUUUCCUCCUGGUUUUACAGGAGAUUUGGAUUUUUCUCUGAGGAAAAUGACCAUCAAAAACUUUUCAAUUGAAUAUGAUGCCAUCAACGACAAAAACACCUUCUCAAAUGGAGAUAUCAUUAAUGGUAGAAUUAUCGUGGAGGUUUCUAAGGAAACUAAAAUCCAGUCGCUUGUUUUUAUAGCAAAGGGAAAAGCUCGGGUCUGCUGGUCUGAACAUUACGGGCAAGAUCACAAUCAUGUGUACUGGUCUAAUGAGAAAUAUUAUGAUGUCAAACAUCAUAUUUUGAGAGAGGCAAGACAAGAUGGCACUGAAGUCAUUGGUAAAGGAAGACAUGCAUUUCCCUUUUCCUUUAAUAUUCCUGACAGAAAAAUCCCAUCAUCUUUCAAAUCCUCCAUAGGCAACAUUGUUCAUAAAUUGAAGGCAGAGCUUCAUCAAUCAAUGAAGCUGACAAAAAAGGUUAAAACCCACUUCACAUUUGUGUCCAAAGCAGACAUGGAUACUCCUGGACUUAUGGAACCUCAGAAUGGUUGCAAGGAUAAAUCUGUCAGCGUUUUUGGCUCUGGAAACAUAUCCAUGGAUGUUCACACCAAGCAGAUGGGAUACAAACAAGGCGAGGCUCUCGGAGUCACAGUUGAAGUCAGCAACCACUCAAAUCGUUCAGCGAAGCCCAAACUCGAACUGUAUAAGAAGGUGAGUUUCUUUGCCCAGGGUCACAGGAGAGUUCACAAAGAGAAGAUCAUUAAGGAGAUGAGUGAGGCUGUUGUAUCCUCUGGGAAAGAGACUGUGACCAAGGUGAUGUCCAUCCCCACGGAGCUACCUCCCUCCAUCUUGAACUGCUCCAUCAUCAAGCUGGAAUACAGGCUGAGGAUCUAUCUACAGGUCAAAUUUGCUUCAGACCCAGAGAUCAAACUCCCUAUAGUCAUCCUACCUUCCUUUGAGGUUCCUGCUAUGAAACCACCUGCUGCUGCUGGCUUUGGAUUUAAAGCAUUUGGGGACCCGGACCAAGCACCCUGGAGCAUGGCAUCACAAGCACAAGCAGCACCCCAAGAAGUGGAUCCCCCACCUCCGUAUGAAGCAUGUGCAACGUACCCUAGCAAAUAUGCGAGUGCACUUUAAAUACGCCACUGUUUUAGCAUUGCACUUUGCACAGAUUAAUCACAAUGCAACUUGAGUACCAUUAGUCAUUAGUAGCUUCAUUUGAUUUUUGUUUUACAUUAUGAUGCAAUUCUUUCUUGGGCUGACCCCAGGAAGAGUAGUUGCCACCUUGGUAGUGGCUUAUGAGGAUCCAAACAAAUAAAUACAUAAAUAAAAACUUCAGUGCCAAAAGUUAGUUUGGAGAUUGCUAAUAAUAGUAACCAUAUGAUUAUUGGUCAGUUGCUAAUGUUAAUGCCAAAUUGUAUUUUUUUAUUCCACUGAAUUAUAUUGAUGUCCAUAUGUGGUAAUUUUGGUGUUAUGUAAAUACUAGUCUAUAUCCUUCGCGUGCUGCAGGAAUUUCCGCCGGAUGAAUGUAUUUUCUGUUUCCUUCCGCUUUCUUUGUGUUGGAAUUUUAAAUUUGGUUGAUUAAUGAGGACUAUAGUUAAUUGCUCCUCAGAUCUCUGCAUGGUAAAUUGAGACAGCUAGCUAGUCUAUCUGUCCAAUCUGAGUUUUCUCUUGCACGACUAUUUUGCAGCAGCUCGGUGUAGAGUUUAGCAACGCCCAUGACAAUUCUGAUUGGUUUAUAGAAAUGCCAAUAAACCAGAGCACGUUUUCCUCCCAUCCCCGUAAGCUAUGUGAAGUAACCAGACCCUCCUUCAGCACGCUUUGGAGGAGGGUCUGGCAAAGUGAGACUAUGUAAAUACUAACUUUUUAUCAGCCUGCUUAAACCAAUAUCACAAGGGCCAUGUUGAAUAGAACUACUGUUGACUAAACAUAGUUACACUGUAAUUAGUUUUUUAUCAAUAGAUGGAUUCAAAAUGGUAUACAUUAUCUCAGUAUCUUGAAUAGCUAUACUUUAGUUUAUUUAUCAUAUCAAAUAUUACAAAAAUGAAUUGGUUGUAUAUUUGUACCUGUAUGAAUUUGCAUUUGAACAGUAAAUAUGCCUCAACUCAAACUUUUGUUUGAGUUAAACUUUUCGUUUCAACUUAUUGUUUUAUUGAUGUCAGUGUAAAAGUAAAAAUUCAAUAAUCCAACGGGUAAAAUUUGACAUUUUAAUUUUAUUCAGAUGCUUUUGCGUAGGUAGACAGCACUAAGUUAUGGUCCACCGAAAUCUUGAAUGGGUAUUUCCUCUGAAUCUGUUAGCACCAGAAGAAAGAAAGGAAUAUGCUCAAAAUGCUUAAGUGCAUUUCCUUAAUAUGUGCAAAUUUAGCAUGCGUGAUGCCUGCCUAAAUCAUCUAUAUUGUAUUCCUGCCAGGUAAAGGUUAUGUAUUAUUCUUUUAAUUUACAUCAAGCUAUCUGAGUUAGACAUGUUAUUGAUAAAGUAUGUAUUAUGUAGUGCUAUAUUGUGGUUUUUACAUUGGUUUAAAUAGUAUUCACUGAGGAAUAUAAAUGAAUGUUCACACGUAUAGCAUACUGGAAUCUUUUGUCUUAGUACAUCCAUGACGUCAGUCUCAAUUUAUUUGGCCUAAUUUAGCCUGCAAGGCUGCUGGCUAGAGUUACCUGUGGGAAAGGGACACCUGCAGCUCAUGAUCACGUGGUCAUGUGAGACACCACAGAUAGCCUCUGGAGAAGUCCACUGCUAUAGUGUAUAUGCCAGCCUUGCUUGAUCCUUGCUCAUUAGCGAAAGGCCCCACUUCAAUACCACCGUGGAUCUAUUCAAACCGGCUUCCAGUAGAUUUUCAGGAAUUAUUCUACAAAAAAAGAAGCAUCGUCAUCGUGCGUUCACUCCACAACCUUUGGGACGGUUCUUUGAUUCAGUCUUAUCAUGACUGUAAAGCAUAUCUCAGUGGAUUACAACAAGGUGAAUGAACGAGGCACCUUCUCUCCUGGGGACAUCCUGUCUGGCAGGGUGACAGUAGUGACCAGCAAGGAAACCAAAGUGCAGUGUUUUUUGGUCAAAGCCAAAGGAAAAGCUAAGGUGACAUGGCAUCAACAAGAAGGACAAGCCACAGGGAUGCACACUGACAAGAAGAUAUACUUUCAUUUUGAACAUAUUAUUCUUCAGGAUAAGAACAAAGGAGAUGGUUAGUAUUGUCACUCUCGUCUACCAAAAAACAAAGAAAGAGAGCGCUUAAAGCUUUUCAAUUGAUAGAUAUUUUAUAGUCUGUUAACAAACUGAUGAAUGUGUAUUUAACAGCAGUGUUUCUUUUUAUUCUUUUUUAUAAGGUUCAGAAAUCAUCCGCCCUGGGAGAAAUGUGUAUCCAUUCACCUUUGUGAUUCCAAAUACAGAUAUGCCUUCAUCUUACGAGGGGAAAUGGGGGAAAAUUACAUACAGUUUGCGAGCACAGCUGACUCAGUCAAUCUGGCUUGUCCACAAAACCAAGACUGAGUUCCCUUUUCUGACUAAGUUCCCCUUUGCCUCCAAAUCAGAAAUGAUAAUCAUUGGACUUAAGGAGCAACAAUAUGCAACUAGGAUUUCAUUUUAUGGCUCUGCAAAGGUUACGAUCAAUGUUACCUCAGAAAAAAUGGGAGUAAAGCAAGGUGAUGCGAUAGGAGUCUCUGUAGAGGUACUCAACGACUCUGCACGCACAGUAACACCCAAGUUCUACCUGUGUGAAAAGCAGACCUUUGUUGCUCAGUCAAAGAGGAUCGUUCACACAAAUGACACCCUCUUUGGUACAGGAGACUCCAUACCUGCUGAGACCAGUCAGACCAUAACCAAAGUUCUGAGUAUCCCUCCACAGCUCCACACUACCUUCUUCAACUGCUGCAUGAUGAAGCUCGAGUACGGACUCAAGAUCACUCUUGAUGUCCCUCUGGCAAGAGACUCAGAGAUCAAACUUCCUCUGGUCAUUCUGUUGGGGUCGCCAAAACCACAUCAACAAAAACCAAAGAGAUCCAUCUGGUUUAGAAAGCUUCCUGCUUAAAAAAACUAAAAUGCAUUAGAUCCAGAGACAGUGGUGUGCAUGUGCUGUGCUAGGAGCAACAGGACUCAAAAUAACAGUUCAAUAUAGCAACAUUUAAAUAAGUCUAAACUACCUCAAGCGCCUGAGAAUUCACUGUAUGUUCUCUUGUCCACUAGAUGGAGAUGUGUGUCACUAAGUAGCAUUCCAGUAACAGUUGAUAUUUUUGAGUGUACAGUAUGUACUUAAUAAAUUCAACUACUCA